CCUACGGGAGGCAGCAGUGGGGAAUAUUGCGCAAUGGGCGAAAGCCUGACGCAGCGACGCCGCGUGAGGGAUGAAGGUCUUCGGAUCGUAAACCUCUGUCAGCAGGGAAGAACGGUCACUGUGCUAAUCAGCAGUGAAUUGACGGUACCUGCAAAGGAAGCACCGGCUAACUCCGUGCCAGCAGCCGCGGUAAUACGGAGGGUGCGAGCGUUAAUCGGAAUUACUGGGCGUAAAGCGCUCGUAGGCGGUAUGUCAAGUCAAGGGUGAAAUCCCCGCGCUCAACGUGGGAACUGCCUUUGAAACUGGCAAACUGGAGUGUGGGAGAGGAGAGUGGAAUUCCAGGUGUAGGAGUGAAAGCCGUAGAGAUCUGGAGGAACAUCAGUGGCGAAGGCGACUAUCUGGCACAUAACUGACGCUGAGGAGCGAAAGCGUGGGUAGCAAACAGGAUUAGAUACCCGGGUAGUC
rnacentral:rRNA from 1 species